rnacentral:ncRNA from 1 species
GGAAUGACGUUGAUCGGGAGGAGUACGCAGCCAACCCUGCAGAGAGCGAAACCAUUUGCUGAGAGGUUUCGCAGGAUGUAAUUGCGGAAAGUCGCCCGGGAGUUGCUGGAUCUGUACAGAUCAGCCGGUUGCAGCCGUUAUCUGUUGAGUGCCGUGUGCGGAGCUAUGGGUUUAAACCGAGCUGAACAUUCACACGGAACAAAGGUGGUACCACGGAAGCUAAACCUUUCGUCCUUUGG